rnacentral:rRNA from 1 species
AACCUGGUUGAUCCUGCCAGUAGUCAUAUGCUUGUCUCAAAGACUAAGCCAUGCAUGUCUAAGUAUAAGUAUUAUACAGCGAAACUGCGAAUGGCUCAUUAAAACAGUUAUAAUUUAUUUGAUAAUCGAAUUUACAUGGAUAACCGUGGUAAUUCUAGAGCUAAUACAUGCUGGUAGGCCCGACUUUUUGGAAGGGCGGUAUUUAUUAGAUAACAAACCAAUAUUCCUCUGGUCUAUUGUGGUGAAUCAUAAUAACUGAUCGAAUCGCAAGGUUUUUAACCGCGAUAAGUCAUUCAAGUUUCUGCCCCAUCAGCUUUCGAUGGUAGUGUAUUGGACUACCAUGGCUUUUACGGGUAACGGAGGAUUAGGGUUCGAUUCCGGAGAGGGAGCCUGAGAAACGGCUACCACAUCUAAGGAAGGCAGCAGGCGCGUAAAUUACCCAAUCCUGACUCAGGGAGGUAGUGACAAGAAAUAACGGACCGAGGCCUUCGGGCUUCGGGAUUGCAAUGAGCCGAAUUUACACCCCUUAGCGAAGAUCGAUUGGAGGGCAAGUCUGGUGCCAGCAGCCGCGGUAAUCCAGCUCCAAUAGCGUAUAUUAAUGUUGUUGCAGUUAAAAAGCUCGUAGUUGGAUUUCUGGAAAGUGCAU